rnacentral:rRNA from 1 species
CCUACGAGUGGCAGCAGUGGGGAAUCUUGGGCAAUGGAGGAAACUCUGAUCCAGCAACGCCGCGUGAAUGAUUAAGGUCUUCGGAUUGUAAAGUUCUUUUCUAAGGGAAGCAGAAAGUGACGGUACCUUCAGAAUAAGCCGCGGCUAACUACGUGCCAGCAGCUGCGGUAAUACGUAGGAGGCGACCGUUAUCAGGCAUGACUGGGAGUAAAGGUGGCCGAGGUGGUUUGGCAAGUUGGUGGCGUAACUCCAAGGCUCAACCUUGGAACUACUACGAAUACUGUUGGACUUGAGUGCAGGAGGGGGAACCGGAAUUCCUGGUGUAGCGGUGGAAUGCGUAGAUAUUAGGAGGAACACUAGUGGCGAAGGCGGGUUGCUAGACUGUAACUGACACUGAGGCACGAAAGCGUGGGGAGCGAACAGGAUUAGAUACCCUUGUAGUC